GUGUAAGUGACUGUUACAAAUAAUUAACGUGCGGUUACACUGGGUGAGACGACACUCUACUGUCGACUGCAAAAAGUAGAAUAAUUAAGGAGACUGGGAAUGUUAAUUCUGCCCCCUAGCUUCAAGAGGUGAAAGAAACAGUGACCAAACACCACCAUGGAAAACGACAUGGACGAUUAUCCUCUGUAUUCUGACGAUGACCUUUACGUCCCUGAAUCAGAGGAUAUUGCAGUGUCAGUGCUUCUUCUCCUUGGAAUUUUCUCAAUCCUCCCUGUCCUUGGUUGGAUUAUCUUGUCCUUCUAUUGUAAGCGCUGGAAAAUAAUACCUGUCUCAUUCUCUUUCGUGUCCCUCCUUGUCACUGACGCUCUGCAGCUGAUCGCUUCCCCUUUCAUUGUGGAAACUGUGCUAACCGGGGUUCCCUGUUGGCAUGCUCAUUGGUGGUGCAUUACAGUAUACACACUGUUCUCAGUGUCAAGAUUCUGCGGUCUGUUUUUUCAAAUAACGGUUGCUCUGGAUAAUAUCUGCUCUCUGAAAAGGCAUCUUCAGCAAGUUGACAGUCUAUUGGUUCGUCGGUGGUGUUCCCUGUUCAUGUCUGUCAGUGUGCAUAUUGUCAACAACUCUGACAUGGUCACCUUCUUUAUGAACUUCGGUGUGUGGUCCUUCUACCCUUUAUUGACAUGUUUUGCACAUAUAUUUGAUAUGAACUACUUAUUUUACUAUGUUUUGAAUACUUUAUUUGGAUUGGGUGCUGUGGUCACAGCUGCUGCAGCAUGUGUGAUAACCUUCAUAACUGUGCCAGCAGUGAACCCCACCAAAAAGCAAUGUCAGUGUUUGAAGGUAUUAGCAGUGGCCAUGUUUACUUUUAUGAUACUCUAUGUUCCUGAGUUCCUCUACUGGAUAAUACAACACCACAGACCGGCUUGGAUGCAGGGAUUUAGUCAUGUUGUCCACUAUCUGCCGUGCCUGAGACCCAUCACUGACUGUGUCCUGUGUUGGUUUGUCUGCAAGGACAGGGUGUGUCCUAGAGAUCAGCAAACAACAGACCUAGCACGCAAUUCACCUAUCCUCGAUUCCUCUCAUCAUGUCCCCUCGCUUUCUGAAAACACAUCGGUGGUUUAGAACCAUGGAGAGAAACCUCCAAUACGGGAGGAUGCGAGGAAUCAAGGAAAGAUAAAUUGAGAUAGAGCACAGUACUGAGGGCUAAUAAUCAUAUGAUGGAGAGGAGGAGGCUGGUGGGAGGAGCUAUAUGAGGACUGGCUCAUUGUAAUGACUGGAAUAGAAUUAAUGGAACUGAGUCAAACGUGGUUUCCAUGUGUUUGAGACCGUUCCAUUAAUGCCAUUCCAGCCAUUACAAAGAGCCUCUCGUCGUAUAGCUCCCCCCACCAGCCUCCACUGGUAUAAAGUAACUUCUCACUCCUGUUUAAGAGUGUUAAGGGAAUUUUUAUCAAUGAUGACUAAUUAUGUAUACAUUUCAAUCAGGACUGACGUGUCCAAAUGCUAUUAUGUACUGUACUAUAUGAAUUUUCUCUCUUAUUCCCAUUCCCAAUUGUAUAUAAUAUAGUCAGGAGUUUAGAACAAUGCCUUGGUACAAAUGAAUGAACUAUCUCCAGAUGGCAGGGACGGACUAUCUCUAGACUGUCUAGAAUGCUAUCUACACAAACGGACCUUGGCUACAGGUGAGGAGGGAAGGCUCGAGAACUAUAGGGCCUCUCUACCGGUGUCAUGAAGAGAUAGAACAUUUAGAAAACGCUGACGUCAUUUUCAGUUUAUAACCUGUGGAAAAAUGUGUAUAUACCCAGUACACUCUUGAAUUAAACGCUGUUACCUGACCGGGGCUCUGUCCAUUCUUAUAAAAAUAUUGGGUCUUACAAUCCCUUCGAAUGCAUUGACAGAGUAUUUAAUUCUGAUUGGGAAACAAUACAGAGGAAUUUAGAAUUCCUUUAACAAAGAGUCAUUUGUAGGAUGAGAUUCAGAGGGAGAAGUGGGAGAAUUGGUGAAUUGGUGAAUUGGGAAUGGAUGAUACCUGUGUAAAAUAUGUAAAAAACUGUAAAUAUUUUAUGAAUGAAAUAAAAACUCAAUGUUUUGGUUUAUUGUUUUGCUCUAAGGCCAGAAUAAAAUCAGACUGCAGGUUCUCUACAAUGCAGCUUCGGAAGGCAAUUUCUGAUUGAGUCGACAUAUGCAGUGGUUACCGUGAAUGAGAUCUCCGUGACCGUGAGAACAUUGAGUUAUUAAAAUCUGCAUUGCUGAUAAUCUUGUCAGGAUUUGGCCAGGGUUGUUCCGGUUUUUGUUCACUAGAUGACCCCAUUGUGCUUUUUGACCUUUUGUUUUCCCUUGAUCCCCAUUAUUAUUUGCACCUGUGCCUCGUUUCCCCUGAUUGUAUUUAAACCCUUAGUUUUCCUCAGUUAUUUGCUCUGUGUUUGUAUGUUAGCACCCAGCCCUAGUAUUCUGUGAACUAUUGUUGAUCCCGGUGGACUCUCUUAUGGAAUUCUGUUUUUUUGUUCUUGUUUAUUUAUUUUUGAGUAUCUUUUGAGGCUUUUUAUGCUAUACCUACCACCUUGUGGAUUUACCUUUUUUGUCUUGGAGGAUUACCUUUGUUCUUGUGGAAUUCCUUUUGAGGUUGUGGAGUUACAUGUUUUCCUGAAGGACUUCACUUUUUACUUCAUUAAAUACACCGUCUCAAGUA